rnacentral:ncRNA from 22 species
ACAAAUCGUAGAGGUGCAAAUCCGAUAAGUACUUUUUCUGAGUGGAGAACGAGGAGGAAAAAGGAAAGGCGUAUUUGCCGAAAUCAGUUAAGCGUCAUCUUAAUUGGUUGGGGUCGUUACCGAAAGGGACGACACUGUCGUAAUCCUUGUAUUACGGAGUGCUACUGCUAGG